rnacentral:lncRNA from 1 species
UUUUUGUUCAUCUUUUUCUCCUUGAAAAUUUAUGAAAUGUUGUGGUGCAGAGUUUUGGUAGUCAGCAAUGGGAUACUGGUUUUUCCAUUCAAGCUCUGCUUGCUACUAAUCUAACGGACGAGAUUGGACCAGCUCUCGCUAGAGGACAUGACUUUAUCAAGAAAUCUCAGGUUCAUUUCUUGUUCUAAUGAAGUCACUUGUCAUGUUCUUAGUUUCAAAUUUUAGUCUAGCUAAUGACUAUGUACUCCAUUUUGAAGGUCAAGGAUAACCCAUCUGGUGACUUCAAAUGCAUGCACCGUCACAUUUCUAAAGGAUCGUGGACUUUCUCCGAUCAAGAUCAUGGAUGGCAGGUAUCUGAUUGCACUGCAGAAGGUUUAAAGGUAAACAAACUUUCUUUCACUGCUUCUUGCCAGAUUUUUUUUAUCCAACAAAGCCUUUUACUUGCUACUCGAUCCAUUCAUGUUUCUCACCAUAAUCACCUCCAUAGUGUUGCCUUCUUUUGUCGAUGAUGCCAUCGGAGAUAGUUGGUGAAAAAAUGGAACCUGAGCGCUUGUACGAUUCUGUCAACGUUCUACUUUCCCUACAGGUGAGAAUGUUACUAAUAAUUGUUUCACCCUAGUCUACAAGAGCCUUCAAUCAAAUUUCAGCUGUUUUAACUUUUCACUACUCUUUAAAAAAAAAAAAAACUUUUAACUACUCCAUUAUAGCUCAUUGCAGAGCACGCUAGAAUUUUAUGUCUCUUUACUCAUAAAAAUGCUCGACUUUACGUAUCAUUGCAGAGCAAGAAUGGUGGUUUAUCAGCCUGGGAGCCAGCAGGGGCUGCAGAGUGGUUAGAAGUAAGAAUUUUAUCAAUCCAUAUCAUGAGUAUUGAUCAUGUGGAAAUCAGUCGGUUCACUCAGCAUGUUCUUACUUGUUUUGUUUCCUCAGCUGUUAAAUCCGACAGAGUUCUUCGCGGACAUUGUGAUUGAGCAUGAAUAUGUUGAGUGCACCUCAUCUGCAAUCCAGGCUUUAGUUCUCUUUAAGAAGCUAUACCCUGGCCAUAGGAAGAAAGAGAUCGAACAUUCCAUCACCAAAUCUAUACACUACCUUGAAAAUAUACAAAUGCCGGAUGGUUCAUGGUAUCUUUCUAUUCUAGGCAAUCAAUCAAGAGUUAUGAAAAAAAAUGAAACAAAUUAAGAAAAUCUUGACUAAGAAGUCAACUCUUAACAGGUAUGGAAAUUGGGGAGUUUGCUUCACAUAUGGUACAUGGUUUGCGCUAGGAGGAUUGGCAGCUGCUGGCGAGACUUUCCGAACAAGCGCAGCUAUGCGCAAAGGGGUUAGUUUUCUACUUAAGGCGCAGAGAGAGAACGGUGGUUGGGGAGAGAGUUAUCUUUCAUGUCCACAAAAGGUGACUAAUUAACUACUUUCAAACUUUGAACUUCAAACCCUGAACUUCAAACUUCGAGUUUCUUAAUCCGUCUAAAACUGAACAUGCUCAAUAUCUCUUUCACUUGGUUGAUGCAGACAUACAUUCCUUUAGAAGGAAACCGAUCCAACUUAGUACAUACUGCUUGGGCAAUGAUGGGUCUCAUUCAUGCGGGACAGGCAGAAAGAGACCCGACACCUCUUCAUCGUGCAGCAAAGUUUAUAAUCAAUUCUCAGCUGGAAAAUGGUGAUUUUCCCCAGCAGGUAUUUAUCUUUGCAUAACAAAAUGAACUUGCAUCCGUGUAGUGAAGAAGAUUAGUACAACGAAUAUUAUGUUUUGUGUAGUACUUGCAGUAUUUUGUAAUUAAAGAUUAACUAAACACCGACUUGAUAUUGCAGGAAAUCACUGGAGUCUUCAUGAAGAACUGCAUGCUACAUUAUGCAGCUUAUAGAAAUAUCUACCCACUAUGGGCUCUUGCAGAAUACCGCAAGCGGGUUCCAUUGCCUUCCAAGGCUUGAAUUACUCACCCUAUAAUAUAUGUAGCAUAUCCAAAAUAAAAGAUCAAACAUGAAAUUAACCUAAAAACCUUAAUAGGUGAUAUUAGCUCUUUAAGGUGGACGAUGUAGGAAACAAGUCCCACUUUCAAGCUCAGUGAAGGGUACGUCCACCCGAGUCUGGGAUGAAAUUUCUUUGUAUGGGCAUAAAGACGAAUAAUGUCAAUCUCUAUACGUAAGAUAACGAUAGGGAUUUACUUCUUUUUAUUAAUUGUUCUUAUGGAUCUUUGUUGCUCUCUCACUUAUUGUAUCCAUUCUAAUUGUUUCGUUUUUUUAUUAAUAAAAUUAUUAGUGGAUGGAGGUCAUUCUUUUAGUGUCAAUAUCUUCACGUACAAAACUAACUAAUAAUUCCAGCAAUACAGUAUACAUGUAAACGGGCAUGCAAGUCCCUUAACUUCUCAAAAAAUAAAAAAAUAUAGAAAAGAAAAAGAAGAAGAAGAAGAAGAGAUAUCGUGCAUGCAAGUGACUGUGAUUAUGACUUGAAUUUAGUACACAAAACUUUGAAUUUCUGGUUCUAAAGGCUUUUUUGAAAGAAAAAGAAACACUACACAUAACUUUGAUUCUAAUUUUAACAUUAUGAUUUGUCUACGUAAUAGACCCUAAUCCCUAAACUCUAAACCUAAAUUUCAAAUUCUAUUUCCGCCCCAUGUGUGAGGUAGAUGUACUGUCUACUAUAUAAAUGCUUCGUAUAUAUGAGAAGAGGAGCUCUUAGUCAUCAUAACUCCUAACUUCGAAGAAAGCUGUGAGAUGUGGCGUAUACAGAGAGAUUCUAGCUAGCCUUCGCUAUAGAAAUGCUUGCGUAUACUCCGAUCGAUCUACAACGAAGACGAAAGGAAAUCAUUCACGUUGUUCCCACUAUAGGGCCAUAUGGGACUUUCGUCCACGAUCGUAUGUAUCUAGCUAGUUAGCUAGGCUAGCUAAGUAUAUAAACUUAUAAGGGAAGGUGAUUAAACAAGCUACGAACUCCUCCAUUGAACCUCAGCAAUUUUAGCAGUACUCCAGAAAAUGUGGAAGCUCAAGGUUGCAGAAGGUGGGGAUUCUUCGGCUUACAUAUACAGCACAAACAACUUCGUCGGAAGGCAGACAUGGGAGUUCGAUCCCAACGCAGGGACUGAUGAAGAGCGAGCUGAGGUUGAAGCGGCUCGUCUUCAUUUCUACAACAAUCGGCAUCAGGUCAAGGCCAAUGGUGACCUUCUUUGGCGUAUGCAGGUAUGUAGCUAGUAUAAGCUAGCUAGUUAAUUGAUUCUUGUACUUUCUGUCUUCUCCGUGCAGGUUUGUUUUCUUUAUGUUUUUGUUGCAGUUCUAUUGAUUUGGCUGCUUUGUAAAACUUGUAUUGUGCUUGUAUUAGUACGUGGAAUUCCCUAAUUCUUAUGGCUUGGCGUAGUGACGUCGUUUAUUUAAUGAAAACAUGAUAAUGCUCCACUUUAAAAAAUUAUUCCUCUGAUCCUCUCUAUUCACUAAUCAAAUUCACCCUCGUCGCAUUGGGACAGCAGGAGCGCUUGCAAGAAGUUACUUUUAGGAUAUUAUGUGGGAAGUUUUGUCAAUGAUAAGGUGGUUGUUACCUUAAUUAUCUGAUGAUGUGUGAUAAUUUGGUUAUCACAUCUAAUCCUAAUCUGAAAUACAAGUUCUUUAAUUUGGCCCAUAUUUUAUUUAACGUUGUACUAUUUCGUCCUCACGAUUGAAAUCGGGCGGCUCAACUUCAUAUUUAUGAAGGUGACGCUUAUGAUUUCCGACUUUCAUGGAUGCAAUAAAAUUCUGUUCCAAACCAAAAAAAAAAAAUUCACCCUCAUUUUUUGAUUUUUAGUGGCAAAAUGAUCAUAUGGAAGUUUUUGGUGCCAAAAUUCGAUAGGGAGAUCUGCAUGUCCCAAAGUGGCGUACACGUAUAUAUCUCAAAGUUGUCACAGAGUCCUGAUGAGCUAGCUACAAGUCCGCCAUAUCUCUAGGAUACUCUAGCUAACCAUCCAACAAUAUCAAAACGUACCAUUUUUUGUUUUUCAAGUAUAAUGUACGUGUAAGUCCUUCAAACUUUUUUUUAUUUUUUUAUGCUCAAGUCCUUCAAACUUAAAUGAUGUUUAAUUUCAUCCUUCCUGGUGGAAUUUAUCAAACUCUUGAGAAGAAAUUUACACUCCCUAAUUCGUAUAAAGAGUGAAUUGCGUAUAGAAAAAUAUAUUAAAAAACUGAAAUAAGGAGUGUGUGGAUUAAACAUACAGUAUGGAGUAUUAAUUUCACCUAUGAUUCUUAAUUUUGUUCACUAUUGUAACUGCAGUUCCUGAGAGAGAAGAAGUUCAAACAGACAAUUCCUCCGGUAAAAGUUGAAGAUGGCGAGGUUAUUACACAUGAAAAGACAACAGAUGCACUGAGAAGGUCUGUCCACUUCUUCUCAGCGUUGCAGGCAAGCGAUGGCCAUUGGCCUGCGGAGAAUGCCGGCCCUUUGUUUUUCCUUCCUCCUUUGGUUAGUUCUUUGCUUCUCUAUAACUAUAACGUUCUUAUUAGUACCAUAUUAAACAGUCACUAUAUUCGAAAAUCAUAUAUGGUUCAGGAUCGAUUUCAAUGACGUUUUACUGAUUACUUUGUGAAUGUGUGUGUGUAAGAAACAGGAGGUUUCAUGCUAGCUUAUUUCAUGAGUUCAUUCUUAUUUUUUAUUUUUAGUAAUGUAGUUUUAUAACUACUAAUAAUUGAAGUUUAGUUUGCACCCUGAACUUUCAGGUCAUAGGUCUGUAUAUUACGGGGCAUCUUGACAGUGUAUUCCAUGAGGAACAUCGCAAAGAAAUUCUGCGUUACAUAUACUAUCAUCAGGUGCAUAAUCUUUGACAUUUGAAGGCACAAAUAAGAACAACUUGUUCCACUUUGAUCUUCUAGUUUAAAACGUAUAUUUCGGGUACUUCAGAAUGAAGAUGGUGGCUGGGGAUUACACGUUGAAGGUCACAGCACCAUGUUCAGCACAGCUCUCAGCUACAUUUCUAUGCGUUUCCUCGGAGAAGGAUCUGAUGACGGUGGCCAAGACAAUGCUUGUCCAAGAGCAAGAAAGUGGAUUCUUGAUCAUGGUGGUGUAACACACAUACCCUCUUGGGGAAAGACUUGGCUUUCGGUAAGAAACAGUAAUGCUUUGGUCGCCAAAUCGGUUCACCAUAUGAUGCUGAGCAUUCUUUGUUUCAAAUAAAUGAUGUUAAUUUAAUUAGAUCAAAUUAUUCUAUUGUGAGAAUGUGAGACUAUCAUUGUUUGUGAAAUUUACAAGUCAUAUGUCUGUACUGAGAUGGUGUGUAGUUGCAAUAUGCUCAAAUGCUGUGCUUAUAAUGAGAUCUACAGAAAUGAUUUUAAUUGUAUGAAAAUAAUUUAUUGUAGUUCCUUGGGUUGUUUGAUUGGUCUGGAUGCAACCCUGUGCCCCCAGAGUUUUGGAUUCUCCCUUCAUUUCUUCCUAUGCAUCCAGGUAAUUAUUAGCAAAAUUGCCUGCUCUCCCUCAAGUCAUUUCUUUCCAUUUUCCAUUUUUAUUGCUACAAGUCAUUUAUAUGAAUUGUUGUUUUCAGUUUUAAACUUUCAUUCUACUCACUUUAUCGAUUUUAUCUUAUACAAAUGUAGCAAAAAUGUGGUGCUAUUGUAGGAUGGUUUACAUGCCAAUGUCAUACCUAUACGGAAGAAGGUUUGUUGGCCCAAUUACACCUCUCAUUCUUCAGUUGAGGGAAGAACUUUUUGUACAACCUUACAAUGAAAUCAAUUGGAAGAAAAUACGCCAUUUAUGUGCCAAAGUGAGCAUUUCAACUUGAUUAACUUCAAAUUUCAAGCCAUAAACGUGUUUAUGUGCAGAAGUGUAAAUUAAGUAUCACACUAAUUAUUGCAGGAGGAUAUAUACUACCCUCAUCCUUGGAUACAAAAUCUCCUUUGGGACAGCCUCUACAUUUCCACAGAGCCUCUUCUUACUCGUUGGCCCUUUAACAAGUUGAUCAGAGAAAAGGCUCUGCAGGUGACUAUGAAGCAUAUUCAUUACGAAGAUGAGAACAGCCGAUACAUCACCAUUGGAUGUGUGGAAAAGGUAAUGUAUAUAUUGGAGAACUUAUUUUCCUAGUUAUGUUUGAUAUCAUGAUAUAUCCUAAUCCUAACUCAUUCUCUAUCCUACUGGUAUCUGAACAACUUGAUAAAUAGGUGUUAUGUAUGCUUGCUUGUUGGGCUGAAGAUCCAAAUGGGGAGUAUUUCAAGAAGCAUCUCGCAAGGAUCCCGGAUUAUUUAUGGAUUGCGGAAGAUGGGAUGAAGAUGCAAGUUAGUACACAAUGAGAUACAAUAUAUGAUUUGUAUUGUUCAUCUUUGUCUCUUUGAAAAUUUAUGAUAUGUUGUGGUACAGAGUUUUGGCAGUCAGAUGUGGGAUACUGGUUUUGCCAUUCAAGCUUUGCUUGCUACUAAUCUAACUGACGAAAUUGGACCAACGCUUGCUAGAGGACAUGACUUCAUAAAGAUAUCUCAGGUUCAUUUCUAGUUCUAAUGAAGUCACUUGUCAUGUUCUUAGUUAUAAAUGUUAGUCUGGCUAAUGGUUCUGUACUGCAUUUUGAAGGUCAAGGAUAACCCAUCUGGUGACUUCAAAAGCAUGCACCGCCACAUUUCUAAAGGAUCGUGGACAUUCUCCGAUCAAGAUCAUGGAUGGCAGGUUUCUGAUUGCACUGCAGAAGGUUUAAAGGUAACAAACUUUCUUCCAAUGCUUCUCUUCGGUUUUUCUUAUCAUCAAACAAAGAUUUUUACUUAUUACUGCAUGUUUCUUAUCUGUAGUGUUGCCUUCUUUUAUCGAUGAUGCCAUCGGAGACUGUUGGUGAAAAAAUGGAACCUGAGCGCUUGUACGAUU